AUACGAAGGGUGCAAGCGUUGUUCGGAUUUAUUGGGCGUAAAGCGCGCGCAGGCGGAUCAGCAAGUCAGAUGUGAAAUCUCAGGGCUCAACCCUGAAACUGCGUCUGAAACUGCUAGUCUAGAAUAUCGGAGGGGGCAGGGGAAUUUCACGUGUAGGGGUAAAAUCCGUAGAGAUGUGAAGGAACACCGGAGGCGAAGGCGCCUGCCUGGACGAUACUUGACGCUGAGGCGCGAAAGCGUGGGGAGC
rnacentral:rRNA from 1 species